rnacentral:rRNA from 1 species
UGGGGAAUAUUGCACAAUGGGCGAAAGCCUGAUGCAGCAACGCCGCGUGAGUGAAGAAGGUUUUCGGAUUGUAAAGCUCUGUCUUUGGGGACGAUAAUGACGGUACCCAAGGAGGAAGCCACGGCUAACUACGUGCCUUGCUGCUGCCUCCCGUAGG